rnacentral:piRNA from 1 species
UCCAAAUACAAAGCAGCUGGAUCUGGUGAC